CAACGGCCAAUCACAAACCGCCUCAGCACCGGACGCACUGCGACCGGCUGCCACCUACUGGAAGGCGUCUGUAUUACCGACGCGGAUUAACUUGGCAGGGGUGAUGUAUUCAUUUCAGCGCCUCCAGAGAAAUCCCAUUAGAAAUUAUUUUCUGUCUACCGCACUUCAGAUCUCACUAGAGAUGCGGUAAAAAAUAGAGAACCCCAAACAACGCCUUCCAGAGAGGUGCGAAGCGAGCUGUGACUUCCCCUCGUGAGUAACCAGAGCUGAGCGGACCAGCUGGAGGAGUGAGGAGCACAGCAGAAAUUGACGCCGGUGAGGAGAUCAGACGGAACAUCAGAAGGUGUGUUAUGGAUCGCACGACAUGUGAUGAACUGGCGGAUUUGGAAACGAGAUUUUUUCUGAGAAAUCAGGA